rnacentral:rRNA from 1 species
UUAGGAAUAUUCGUCAAUGGGGGAAACCCUGAACGAGCAAUGCCGCGUGAGUGAUGAAGGUCCUCUGGAUUGUAAAACUCUGUUGUAUGGAAAAAAUGACUAUAUUAGGAAAUGAAUAUAGAGUGAUGGUACCAUACGAGAAAGCUCCGGCUAACUACGUGCCAGCAGCCGCGGUAAUGCGUAGGGAGCGAGCGUUAUCCGGAUUUAUUGGGCGUAAAGCGUGCGUAGGCGGUUUAUUAAGUUUAAGAUGAAAGGCUGGGGCUCAACUCCAGUUUGUCUUAAAAACUGGUAAGCUUGAGUAUGGUAGAGGUAAAUGGAAUUUCUAGUGUAGCGGUGGAAUGCGUAGAUAUUAGAAGGAACACCAGUGGCGAAGGCGGCUUUCUGGACUGUUACUGACACUGAGGCACGAAAGUGUGGGGAGCAAACAGGAUUAGAUACCCUGGUAGU